rnacentral:rRNA from 1 species
GACGAAGGGGGCUAGCGUUGUUCGGAAUUACUGGGCGUAAAGCGCGCGUAGGCGGCCCGGUAAGUCCGCUGUAAAAGUCCAGGGCUCAACCCUGGAAAGCCGGUGGAUACUGUCGGGCUAGAGUCCGGAAGAGGCGAGUGGAAUUCCUGGUGUAGCGGUGAAAUGCGUUGAUAUCGAUAGGAACUCCGGUGGCGAAGGCGGCAUACUGGACCACCACUGACGCUGAUGCGCGAAAGCCAGGGGAGCGAACGGG